GAAUUGGUCUGAACAACAACAACAAGAAAGACUUAUCAACUGUGUGUUGAUCCAGAGGAAAGAAGGCUGUGCACAACACACUUUGGCGAUUCAACUCUUAAUAUCCUGAUUGAUGGCAGAAUUGCUGGGUUAUGUGAAUCUAUCGUCUGAGGCUGCAGCGAUAUCCCUUGAAGGUACCUGAAACAAUACAAGAUCACCGGUGAAGUGCAGCCAAUGGAACGGAAGGAGAAUUCCUCACUACCUGCAGACUGUCAGAACAUAAUAUCUAAUAGUUAUCUAUGUGGGACUGAUACCAGCGUGGAAGAGCUGGUCACUUUUAAAGGACUUUGUGAAUGAUUACCUCUUCAAUAGGACGAUUGAAUAUUAUUGUCUUGCAGACAAGUGAAAGAUGUUUGAAAUAAUGUUCCCUGUGAGUUUCCUCCUAAUACAGGAUGUGGGUGGUGUGUCCAUUUCUAACACAGAGAUGCAUCAGCAGGAUGAGGGACACUCGGGCAUCAAUACGUUUCUAGCUCUCUUUCUACAUUAUGCCACAGUAGUCCCUCAAAGUAGUUGUUGGAUUUGUACAUAUGCUCCAUUCACAUCAAGGGCAGGUAUUCCAUUAAGGGAUAUUCCUUUAAAACCAGAGCGAAAUGUUGGGUAUAUGGAGAGAUGUUAAUUGGUAUAAGGAGAUUAUUGGUACUAAUUUGGGUGAGAACGUUGAGAAUCAACAUGCGAGAGUACCUAGUUCUGCAGUACCUUCCUUCAUUUGAGACCAAUGACACUAAUCAGCGACCACCUUACCUAGUUAUUACACAUGCCCUGUUGGGUGGUUAUGUUUUAAUAGGUCACUCUCUUGGAACUUGUCUCAACUGCACCAGGACGCGUUUGUCAAAAUAGGACAGAGUUAGUGUGAUCAGACUAUCUGCCUGUGACGGUACUAAGGUUGCGGAAUGUCUAAUGUCUGUUGAAAUGACUCAGUAAUUUCACUAGGAAUACUUUUGAUGCCAGUACCUUCGGUAAUAUAAUCAAUAAUGGUAUGAUAGCUCCAAAUGGGACUUAGUUUAUCUGUGGAUCAUAUGCCUAUUCCUGGUUACCAAAGUUGUGGCAAGGGUCGUGUUAGUAAGGGUCGUGUUAGUAAGGGUCGUGUUAUUUGGGAUAUGUUGUAUGUAAGACGUUCUGUGAAUUCUCCUUUUUUACACCAUCAUAAACAUGUGAUUACAGAAACGGAGAGAUUCUUUGCAAUUGCGUUUCCCUCUUAUGGUAUUUCUGAAAUAGCACAGGAAGUUAUUAAUAUGGCUAACUCUUUGGAAAUCCUAGCUAAUAGUACAGUUGAGAGUAUUGAGUUAAUUACUGCUGAGAUGGUUGCCAUUCGGACUGUGGCAAUGCAAAAUAGUUUGGCCCUUGAUUAUCUUCUGUCCGCAUAAGGAGGUACAUGUGCUGUUACUGGUGCUGAAUACUGUACUUACAUUCCUGAUAAAUCUGAGGAAAUAACUGACCUAAUCCAAAAGAUCAGGACUGAUGGCGCUAAAUAUCAUGAUUCCAAUCCAGAUGAUUUAGGCUUAGUCAUGUGGUUGUCUUCCACAUUCGGUACAUGGGGAUGUUUUUUGGUGAGCAUGAUACUUCCAAUAGUGGGAGUUAUGGUUCUUUUUCUCAUCCUCAUCCAGGUUAUCAAGUGUGCUAAAAAUCCAAUGGUUACGUGAUAGGGGAUAUCAUAAGAUUCAUCAACCGUGUCCUUUUGGAGAUGGGUGUCAGUGGUGUUCACCAGAUUGUGGAGUGGGAUACUUGUUAUUUGGCCAUUGGCCAAGUUGUCCUACAAGGACUUCUGAUUGGUCAACCCCAGGCUAGGGUGGGGGGUUAUAAAUGGCAUCCUGUUCCUUUGUUCCGUGGGGAAAAUCUGAGGACAGGGGAGACUGAACAUCUGACUCCCAACAUAACAUGUUGAAUGGUCCUCUCUGAAUAAACCACAUUUUCUCCCCCUGA